AGGGCCUACCUUUAUUCUACAUAGUGUUGAUUUCUGCUGCUGGAUCUCUGUUGAUUGUAGCUUCAGUCGUGAUCUGCUCCACCUGCAAGAAAUGCAGAAAAACAGUCCAAGCAGAGGAGGAGGACAGAACUGAUUCAGCCUUGUGUAAAUCAACACGAAAAACGAAAUCAAAGACAGACGCUGUGUAUGAAAAUGUCCCCAAAAAACGAUAAUUGAAUACCGUAUCUACAGGAAUUGAUGUUACAGCUCACACAGGACAAUAACUCACACCUUACGGUUUUCUUUGCACUUAUUCCCUCUUUUGUUUUCUUUUGAUAUUAUCUAAUUUUUCAUUUUUAUUUUUUAGAAGUUGUUAUCAUGAUAUUUUGUUGCUCUGAAUGGCAUUCAGCAUUCAGAAUUUAAAAUGUUGUUUUAUCUUAACAUCACAAUAAA